GUCGACGUUGCUCGUUACCAACAUAGGCCUCACUGAAGUGAGCAGAUUCAUUUCGAAAAUGAAUUCCUACAAGGCUUUGCGAUCGGCCAUUUUUGCAGCUGCGAUACUUCACGCAUUCAUUCUAUGCUCUGGAGCACCGGGAAAUCAACGUGAGGCUCUGCAGUGUAAUGAAGAAAAGUGUGGCAAAUUCAACAAUUUCACGUGUUCUGUAGACGGUUGCUCAUGUUUUUUCACGGAUAAUGAAAAUAACGGUGUGUGCUACGACAAAGAGGACUACGACGACUACGCUGCGGGUAAAUGACAGAAUAGAGGCCAAACAUACCGGAAGAUGCGUCAUUUUUCUACGCCGCAACAGUUUGGUUCAAAUAAAGCUCUGGCUCUGAUGUAAAGAA